rnacentral:rRNA from 1 species
CACGUAGUUAGCCGUGACUUCCUCGCCGGGUACCAUCACUCAGAAAGCUUUCCACUCUUUCUGCCUUUUGUCCCCGGCAACAGAGCUUUACGGUCCGAAGACCUUCCUCGCUCACGCGGCAUUGCUCGUUCAGGGUUCCCCCCAUUGACGAAAAUUCCCUACUGCUGCCUCCCGCAGGAGUCUGGGCCGUGUCUCAGUCCCAGUGUGGCCGUCCGCCCUCUCAGGCCGGCUAUGCAUCGUCGCCUUGGUGAGCCGUUACCUCUCCAACCAGCUAAUGCACCGCAGGCCCAUCUGCAUGCGGGACUCUUGUCCCCUUUUCCAAAAAGAGAUGCCUCCUCUUUGCUCAUCCGGUAUCAGCUUCCGUUCCAGAAGUUCUCCCGCUCAUGCAGGCAGGUUCCCUACGUGUUACUCACCCGUUCGCCACUCAUAUCCGAAGAUAUCCGUUCGACUUGCAUGUAUUAGGCAUCGCCGCCAGCGUUCAUCCUGAGCCAGGUA